GGUUUCUCUCCAGUGUGAACUCUAAUGUGCCUGUUAAGGUUUCCUUUUUGAGUAAAACUUUUUCCACACUGUUGGCAGGGGAAAGGCUUUCCUCCAGUGUGAACUCUCAUGUGCUCUUUAAGGUUUCCAUUACGAUAAAAACUCUUUCCACACUCAGGGCAGAUGUGAGGUUUCUCUCCAGUGUGAACCCUCAUGUGCCUGUUAAGGUUUCCUUGUUGAGUAAAUCUUUUUCCACACUGUUGGCAGGGGAAUGUCUUCCCUCCAUUGUGGACUUUCAGGUUUUCAUGUUCCUUGAAACAGACUUUUGUAAAAUAACUUUCAGUUUCUGUUUUAUGAGCAGUCUUCUGUGAGAAAG